rnacentral:sRNA from 1 species
UUACAGUGACCAACUCCCGUUCUCAGGU